rnacentral:rRNA from 1 species
GUGGGGAAUAUUGGACAAUGGGCGAAAGCCUGAUCCAGCCAUGCCGCGUGUGUGAAGAAGGUCUUCGGAUUGUAAAGCACUUUAAGUUGGGAGGAAGGGUAGUAACCUAAUACGUUGCUACUUUGACGUUACCGACAGAAUAAGCACCGGCUAACUUCGUGCCAGCAGCCGCGGUAAUACGAAGGGUGCAAGCGUUAAUCGGAAUUACUGGGCGUAAAGCGCGCGUAGGUGGUUCAGUAAGUUGGAAGUGAAAUCCCCGGGCUCAACCUGGGAACUGCUUUCAAAACUGCUGAGCUAGAGUACGGUAGAGGGUAGUAGAAUUUCCUGUGUAGCGGUGAAAUGCGUAGAUAUAGGAAGGAACACCAGUGGCGAAGGCGACCACCUGGACUGAUACUGACACUGAGGUGCGAAAGCGUGGGGAGCAAACAGGAUUAGAAACCCCAGUAGUCC